UACGCAGGGGGCUAGCGUUGUUCGGAAUCACUGGGCGUAAAGGGCGCGUAGGCGGCUUUGUAAGUCGGGGGUGAAAGCCUGUGGCUCAACCACAGAAUUGCCUUCGAUACUGCAUGGCUUGAGACCGGAAGAGGUAAGUGGAACUGCGAGUGUAGAGGUGAAAUUCGUAGAUAUUCGCAAGAACACCAGUGGCGAAGGCGGCUUACUGGUCCGGUUCUGACGCUGAGGCGCGAAAGCGUGGGGAGCAAACAGG
rnacentral:rRNA from 1 species